GAUGAACGCUGGCGGCGUGCCUAAUACAUGCAAGUCGAGCGAACAGACGAGGAGCUUGCUCCUCUGACGUUAGCGGCGGACGGGUGAGUAACACGUGGAUAACCUACCUAUAAGACUGGGAUAACUUCGGGAAACCGGAGCUAAUACCGGAUAAUAUAUUGAACCGCAUGGUUCAAUAGUUAAAGACGGUUUUGCUGUCACUUAUAGAUGGAUCCGCGCCGCAUUAGCUAGUUGGUAAGGUAACGGCUUACCAAGGCAACGAUGCGUAGCCGACCUGAGAGGGUGAUCAGCCACACUGGAACUGAGACACGGUCCAGACUCCGACGGGAGGCAGCAGUAGGGAAUCUUCCGCAAUGGGCGAAAGCCUGACGGAGCAACGCCGCGUGAGUGAUGAAGGUCUUCGGAUCGUAAAACUCUGUUAUUAGGGAAGAACAAAUGUGUAAGUAACUAUGCACGUCUUGACGGUACCUAAUCAGAAAGCCACGGCUAACUACGUG
rnacentral:rRNA from 1 species